AGAGCCGGAGAGAGAACUCAGGGCCAAUGACCGGGAAUACAACCUCUCAUUUAAAUAUGCCACGAACGCCAUCAAGACAUCCAAGUACAACUUCUUCACCUUCCUCCCUCUCAAUCUCUUUGAGCAGUUCCAGAGGAUCGCUAAUGUCUACUUUCUGUUCCUGCUGGUGCUCCAGUUGAUUCCUGAGAUCUCGUCGGUGUCCUGGAUCACCACCGUCGUGCCUUUGGUGGUGGUGCUGUCCGUCACCGCUGUCAAGGAUGCCACUGAUGAC